GCUCAGGACGAACGCUGGCGGCGUGCUUAACACAUGCAAGUCGAACGGUGAUGUCAGAGCUUGCUCUGGCGGAUCAGUGGCGAACGGGUGAGUAACACGUGAGUAACCUGCCCCCGACUCUGGGAUAACUGCUAGAAAUGGUAGCUAAUACCGGAUAUGACGAUUGGCCGCAUGGUCUGGUCGUGGAAAGAAUUUCGGUUGGGGAUGGACUCGCGGCCUAUCAGGUUGUUGGUGAGGUAAUGGCUCACCAAGCCUACGACGGGUAGCCGGCCUGAGAGGGUGACCGGCCACACUGGGACUGAGACACGGCCCAGACUCCUACGGGAGGCAGCAGUGGGGAAUAUUGCACAAUGGGCGAAAGCCUGAUGCAGCAACGCCGCGUGAGGGAUGACGGCCUUCGGGUUGUAAACCUCUUUUAGUAGGGAAGAAGCGAAAGUGACGGUAC
rnacentral:rRNA from 1 species